AAGUCGUAGCAAGGUUUCCGUAGGUGAACCUGCGGAAGGAUCAUUAUCGUACAAAAUGUGAGGGGCAUGCGAGGGCUGUCGCUGACUCAAAGUCGUGCACGCCCGAGUGUGUCCUCUCACAUAAAUAAUCCAUCUCACCCUUUGUGCAUCACCGCGUGGGCACCCUUUGGGAUCAUCUCGGAGGGGGCUCGCGUUUUCACACAAACCCCCCUUUUAAAAGUGUAGAAUGACCUCAUUUAUGCGCUAACCCGCAAUCAAUACAACUUUCAACAACGGAUCUCUUGGCUCUCGCAUCGAUGAAGAACGCAGCGAAAUGCGAUACGUAAUGUGAAUUGCAGAAUUCAGUGAAUCAUCGAAUCUUUGAACGCACCUUGCGCCCCUUGGUAUUCCGAGGGGCACACCCGUUUGAGUGUCGUGAAAACCUCAACCUCCUUGGUUUCUUCUGGAGACCAAAGCAGGCUUGGACUUUGGAGGCCUUUGCUGGCACCUCUCUUUUGAAGGCCAGCUCCUCUUAAACAAAUUAGCAGGGUCCUCUUUGCCGACCCUCGACGUGUGAUAAGAUGUUUCCAUGUCUUGGUUUCUGGCUCUGUCACUUUUGGGACCCGCUUCUAACCGUCUUGAGACCUUGCGUCGAGACAACGUUCGAGCAUGUCUCCCUUUUCUCGGGAAGCUCCCUCGACCCCACGAACCCUUGACCUCAAAUCGGGUGAGACUACCCGCUGAACUUAAGCAUAUCAAUAAGCGGAGGAAAAGAAACUAACAAGGAUUCCCCUAGUAACUGCGAGUGAAGCGGGAAAAGCUCAAAUUUGAAAUCUGGCGGCUCCGCCGUCCGAGUUGUAUUCCGGAGAA
rnacentral:misc_RNA from 1 species